CCAGUGCCCCUUUCUCUGUGACACAUCCAUCCAUUGGAAACUUUCGUACAACUAGCUGAAAGAAGAGAAACAUCUUAUUUUAUGUCACUGGAGCCCUAAUGAUCGCAGCCAUUUCAGGAGAUGCCAUCAAUUACAGUGAGGAGCUCAUUCAGAAGUGAAAGAUGAGUUCCAUUCUCUGUUACUUAGAGGGUGGAUAUCCUCCUCCACUGAAUGCAAACUAUUAAGUAAUGAAAAGGACAGCACUCAAAGCAAUAUAGAUUUAUAGGCCAACCUGGCAAUCAAGGGUAACUGACAUGAAAAUGGAUUGCUUCACAUUUUAAUUACAAAGAUACUCUUCAGUACCAUAAAUUGAAGAAAGCACUAACUUUUUGUGGCUACUGUAAUUGUCAAAGUAUAAUUACCUGUUUUCUCACCUAUGUAUUUGAGAUAGAGACAAAACCACCUAAGUUAAUCCACUUAUAAUAAAAAUGUCUUCUGAGAGUAUA
rnacentral:lncRNA from 1 species